rnacentral:rRNA from 1 species
GACGGAGGAUGCAAGCGUUAUCCGGAAUUAUUGGGCGUAAAGCGUCCGCAGGUGGCUGUUCAAGUCUGCUGUCAAAGCGCAGAGCUUAACUCUGUACAGGCGGUGGAAACUGAAGAGCUAGAGUAUGGUAGGGGUAGAGGGAAUUCCCGGUGUAGCGGUGAAAUGCGUAGAUAUCGGGAAGAACACCAGUGGCGAAAGCGCUCUACUGGGCCAUAACUGACACUGAGGGACGAAAGCUAGGGGAGCGAACAGG